UACAGAGGUUGCGAGCGUUGUUCGGAUUUACUGGGCGUAAAGGGUGCGUAGGCGGUUCCGUAUGUCGGGUGUGAAAUCCUGCCGCUCAUCGGUAGAAUGGCAUUCGAAACUGCGGGGCUAGAGUACGGGAGAGGAGAGCGGAAUUCUCGGUGUAGCGGUGAAAUGCGUAGAUAUCGAGAGGAACGCCGGUGGCGAAGGCGGCUCUCUGGACCGAUACUGACGCUGAGGCACGAAAGCUGGGGGAGCAAACAGG
rnacentral:rRNA from 1 species